GACAGAGGGUGCAAACGUUGUUCGGAAUUACUGGGCGUAAAGCGCGUGUAGGCGGCCAUCUAAGUCGGGCGUGAAAUCCCACGGCUCAACCGUGGAAGUGCACUCGAAACUGGAUGGCUAGAGUCCUGGAGAGGAAGGUGGAAUGCUUGGUGUAGAGGUGAAAUUCGUAGAUAUCAAGCGGAACACCGGUGGCGAAGGCGGCCUUCUGGACAGUGACUGACGCUGAGACG
rnacentral:rRNA from 1 species